rnacentral:rRNA from 1 species
UACGUAGGGGCCGAGCGUUGUCCGGAGUUAUUGGGCGUAAAGCGCGCGCAGGCGGCUUCGCGCGCCCGACGUGAAAGCCCCCGGCUUAACCGGGGAGAGUCGUUGGGGACGGCGGAGCUUGAGGGCGGGAGAGGUCGGUGGAAUUCCCGGUGUAGUGGUGAAAUGCGUAGAGAUCGGGAGGAACACCUGUGGCGAAGGCGGC